rnacentral:rRNA from 1 species
GAUGAACGCUGGCGGCGUGCUUAACACAUGCAAGUCGAACGAUGAAGCCCAGCUUGCUGGGUGGAUUAGUGGCGAACGGGUGAGUAACACGUGAGUAACCUGCCCUUGACUCUGGGAUAAGCCUGGGAAACUGGGUCUAAUACUGGAUAUGACUUCUCAUCGCAUGGUGGGGGGUGGAAAGAUUUAUUGGUCUUGGAUGGACUCGCGGCCUAUCAGCUUGUUGGUGAGGUAAUGGCUCACCAAGGCGACGACGGGUAGCCGGCCUGAGAGGGUGACCGGCCACACUGGGACUGAGACACGGCCCAGACUCCUACGGGAGGCAGCAGUGGGGAAUAUUGCACAAUGGGCGCAUGCCUGAUGCAGCGACGCCGCGUGAGGGAUGACGGCCUUCGGGUUGUAAACCUCUUUCAGUAGGGAAGAAGCGAGAGUGACGGUACCUGCAGAAGAAGCGCCGGCUAACUACGUG